GUGUGGUUCAGUACCGUUUCCUUGGCUAAAGGAAAGAUUUUUAACAUUCCUUUACAAUCUCACAGCAUUUUCUUAAGGAACUCGGAUGAGCUUCACUUGUCUUGUGUCACCUUCCCACUGAUGGACCAUUCUACACUUCACUCAACUUACCAAAAGAGGCACUACCUUUGAAGUCCUCUCCAACCAGUGCAAAGGAUUAUGGCCUGCCUAGGGGAGAGGGAAACCAAACGGUUUGCCU
rnacentral:lncRNA from 1 species